rnacentral:rRNA from 1 species
AACACGAGGAAACUUGUGCUAAUACCGGAUAAGUCUUUACGGAGAAAGCUUUAUGCACCAUUGGAUGAGCCUGCACUUGAUUAGUUUGUUGGUGGGGUAAUGGCCUACCAAGACUGUGAUCAAUAGCUGAUUUGAGAGGAUGAUCAGCCACAUUGGGACUGAGACACGGCCCAAACUCCUACGGGAGGCAGCAGUGGGGAAUCUUGCACAAUGGAGGAAACUCUGAUGCAGCGAUGCCGCGUGAGUGAAGAAGGCCUUUGGGUUGUAAAGCUCUUUCGUCGGGGAAGAAAAUGACUGUACCCGAAUAAGAA